ensembl:lncRNA
UACUGCUGCACAACUAAAUGUGUGCAUCUUUGAAUGUGCUCACAUUGACACUGAUGUGCUAAAAACCUGAUUUUGUGAAGUCAAAACUUUCAGCAAGUUGAAACAAUCUUUGGUAUUUACUCCAGUUAUCCCAAAAUAAGGAUUGGUCCCAUCCAAUGUCAUGGCAUGAAAAUAUGAGAGGCUGUCAUCAAUUCAAUCAGACACUUGCGAAAAUUGUAAACACUGAGUAAAAAUCCUUCAAUAUUUUUAUUGUAUUUCUGACAGUGUACACACAAAACAAUAAUAUACAAACACACACACACAUACGCUGUCCUUCGGCUUAUUAAAAAGGCUAUGUCAUGUUUUUGCUUGGUCAAAAAACAACAACAACAACAACAAAAAACCAACAACCUGUUAUUACUGUGCUGACUUCCUCAUUUUGAAAUGAUUAGUUGUUGUUGUUUUGUUUUUUUUCUUUUCUUUUCUUUUUUUUUUUUACAUCAUUUCAUCUUGGUUGAUGAUGGGCACUAACCUGAUGAGCUCACAUGAAUGAAAGUAAAACUUUCUGUGAACGCAGCUGCUUCUCGCCGGGUGCGGUGGCGCGUGCCUGUAAUCCAAGCUACCGGGAGGCUGAGGUUGGAGGAUCGUUUGAGCUCAGGAGCUCUGAGCUGCAGCAGGCUAUGUCGAUCGGGUGUCCGCACUAAGUUCGGCAUUGAUAUGGUGAUCCUGGGGGAGCCCGGGACCACCAGGUCGUCUAAGGAGGGGUGCCCAGGUCGGAGACGGAGCAGGUCAAAGCCCCCGUGUCGCUCAGUAGUGGGAUCACGCCUGUGAUUAGACGCUGUAGCGCAGCCUGAGCAAUACAGCGAGACCCAAUCUUUAUACACACCCUUAUACCUGUCACUACAUCACACAGCAUCCUCAUCAGCCCGUCUUUGUCUUUUUAAUUAACGUUAAACACGCUCACAAACCUGCUGCUCUGCUUGUCCUGCACCACCUCCACCUGCAGGACAGCUGCAAAUACAUCCUCCAUCCUAAACACUUCUGAUGCCCAGCAGGUGGAGACAAACUCAAACUAGGAAAUUCAUUCAGGUAACCUUUGGGUUUAAUAUUUGCAUCUUAUGAUCACAGCUUUGACUGUCAUGUAAAAAGGUAAUUUUUUUUUAGAAGUGAACUGUCCACAGCGGACAAGUCUGCACAUUUAGACAUUUACACAGUUACUGCGUGACUUCAGUACAGGCAUGAGUCAGGAUUUUGGGGUAAAGUAAAUGUUUUCUUUCUUCUGCACAUCAGCUGCGAUAACAGUCUAAAUAAUUGCAACUCCCCCAAGAAUGUAGAGAUGACAGCUGCACAACUAAGAGCUCUAUUUUUUUUUUUUUCAACUACUGUGCAAAUCAGCUGUUUCAUUCAAGAGUCAAAAGUGGGAUAAUAAGCCACACCCAGAAUGGUGACUGUGACUUGAAUGCAGCACCAUAGCCCGCCCGGGCAUCUUGACACCCCCUGCUAUACAGUUUUGUAACUUUAAUUAUUCCAAACAGCCGCCUAUGUAGUCUUAAUUGUUCAUAUCAUGCCCCACAUCAGUUAAAAAUGGUCAUAUAAACAUGUAAAUGGAAUUAUAGAAACUGUUGAAAAUUGGAGCGACAAAUAUGACAAUUACAAACAUUGUCAAAGUAACAAGCAUACUAACCUGAUCAGACUUCAAAAAAAGACACAGGAUGGCCAAGCGACCACAGGUGCUGUGUUUAGGCUGCAGUCUCUCCUGGAAUUGUGCGUUCAAAUCCCACUUCCUUCAGCCAGUUUACUGAAUGAAGAUGUUAUGCGCAGUC